rnacentral:rRNA from 1 species
UACGGAGGGUGCAAGCGUUAUCCGGAUUUACUGGGUCUAAAGGGUGCGCAGGCGGAUAUGUAAGUCAGUGGUGAAAUCUCCGGGCUUAACCCGGAAAUUGCCGUUGAUACUAUAUAUCUUGAAUGCUGUGGAGGUAAGCAGAAUAUGUCAUGUAGCGGUGAAAUGCUUAGAGAUGACAUAGAAUACCUAUUGCGAAGGCAGCUUACUACACAGAUAUUGACGCUCAUGCACGAAAGCGUGGGGAUCAAACAGG